rnacentral:rRNA from 1 species
UACAGAGGUCCCAAGCGUUGUUCGGAUUCACUGGGCGUAAAGGGUGCGUAGGUGGCGAGGUAAGUCGGAUGUGAAAGCUCGGAGCUCAACUCCGAAAUGGCAUUGGAAACUACCUGGCUUGAGGGUUGGAAGGGGGACUGGAAUUCUCGGUGUAGCAGUGAAAUGCGUAGAUAUCGAGAGGAACACCAGUGGCGAAGGCGGUUCUCUGGGCCUUACCUGACGCUGAGGAGCGAAAGCGUGGGGAGCGAACAGG